GCGUUUCCAGAUUUGGAACUUGAGAAGCAAUAUCUAUGACUGUAUCCCAGUACGCCACCAGAUUUUUUGAUAGAUCUAUAUGUCUGAUAUUAGGACACGUUCCACUGAUUUCCUCUUUCUGACCAGCAUGGCUCACUGCGCAUUCAUGCACUGAGAUAUGUACCAGUCGGUGCAGUUGCCUUUGUUUUUUUUCAAUAGAAUCUCUGCCAACAAAUUCCACGGUCUUCUUUCCAAAUACACACGUAUUCUCUAUUCCAUUCUGAGCAUCUUGUUUUUCAUUCAAUCCAUACCGGCCCUUUACUGCAGUAAGAAAAUCUACCCCAAAGUUUGCUUUGUUUGGGCGGAUGAAUGAGCCUCCUCUGGGAUGCCUGCAUUUAAAAUACUGCUUUCCUUCAUAGGUACCAUCAUGUUUUCCUCUCUGAGGAUCAUCCCACUCCACUCCAAGCCAAACUCCCGCUGUAGGCGAGACGCUGCCGACGUACCGCACGGUGCCGUACUCUGUGCCACACAGCACUCUCCGGCCCAGCGCGUCAGCGGGCACCCCGGCGGCCAUCCCGGUCCUUACACACCCGCUCUAUUGGUGGCUGUGCGUGGAGAGCAUCCGCCGGCCGCCACAGCCCACAGCACGCC
rnacentral:lncRNA from 1 species